rnacentral:rRNA from 1 species
GGUGAACGCUGGCGGCGUGCCUAAGACAUGCAAGUCGAGCGGGCCGCGGGGUUUUACUUCGUGGUUAGCGGCGGACGGGUGAGUAACGCGUGGGUGACCUACCCGGCAGAGGGGGACCACCCGGGGAAACUCGGGCUAAUAACACAUGUGGACCCGCCCCUUGGGGUGUGUCCAAAGGGUUUUGUUCGCUUCCGAUGGGGCCGGCGUCCCAUCAGCUAGUGGGAGGGGUAAUGGCCGACCAGGGCGCCGCGGGGUAGCCGACCUGAGAGGGUGGCAGGCCACAGGGGCACCGAGACACGGGCCCCACGCCUGCGGGAGGCAGGAGUUAUGGAUCUUCCGCAAUGGGCGCAAGCCUGACAGAGCGACGCCGCUUGGAGGAAGAAGCCCUUGGGGGUGUAAACUCCUGAGCCCGGGACGAAGCCCCCGACGAGUGGACGGACGUUACCGGUGUAAUAGCGCCGGCCAACUCCGUG